GACGAACGCUGGCGGCGUGCUUAACACAUGCAAGUCGAACGGAAAGGCCCUGCUUUUGUGGGGUGCUCGAGUGGCGAACGGGUGAGUAACAUGUGAGUAACCUGCCCUUGACUUUGGGAUAACUUCAGGAAACUGGGGCUAAUACCGGAUAGGAGCUCCUGCUGCAUGGUGGGGGUUGGAAAGUUUCGGCGGGUGGGGAUGGACUCGCGGCUUCUCCGCUUGUUGGUGGGGUAGUGGCUUACCAAGGCUUUGACGGGUAGCCGGCCUGAGAGGGUGACCGGCCACAUUGGGACUGAGAUACGGCCCAGACUCCUACGGGAGGCAGCAGUGGGGAAUAUUGCACAAUGGGCGGAAGCCUGAUGCAGCAACGCCGCGUGCGGGAUGACGGCCUUCGGGUUGUAAACCGCUUUCGCCUGUGACGAAGCGUGAGUGACGGUAAUGGGUAAAGAAGCACCGGCUAACUACGUG
rnacentral:rRNA from 1 species